UAAAAACCCCGACUUCGGAAGGGGUGUAUUUAUUAGAUACAAAACCAAUGCCCUUCGGGGCUCUUUGGUGAUUCAUGAUAACUAUACGAAUCGCACGGCCUUGCGCCGGCGAUGGUUCAUUCAAAUUUCUUCCCUAUCAACUUUCGAUGUUUGGGUAUUGGCCAAACAUGGUUGCAACGGGUAACGGAGGGUUAGGGCUCGACCCCGGAGAAGGAGCCUGAGAAACGGCUACUACAUCCAAGGAAGGCAGCAGGCGCGCAAAUUACCCAAUCCCGACUCGGGGGGGUAGUGACAAUAAAUACUGAUACAGGGCCCUUUCGGGCCUUGUAAUUGGAAUGAGUACAAUUUAAAUCCCUUAACGAGGAACAAUUGGAGGGCAAGUCUGGUGCCAGCAGCCGCGGUAAUUCCAGCUCCAAUAGCGUAUAUUAAAGUUGUUGUGGUUAAAAAGCUCGUAGUUGAACCUUGGGCCUGGCUGGCCGGUCCGCCUCACCGCGUGCACUGGUCCGGCCGGGCCUUUCCCUCUGUGGAACCCCAUACCCUUCACUGGGCGUGGCGGGGAAACAGGACAUUUACUUU
rnacentral:rRNA from 1 species